rnacentral:misc_RNA from 1 species
GAUGACCAAGGCUGGGGUGAUCGAGGAAUUUGUAAAUGAUGCGGUGGAUUCAGCACUAGAUUCUGAGGAUAUUGAAGAGGAGAUUGAAGAGGAAGUUGACAAAGUUUUGACUGCCAUUGCUGGUGAGACUGCUGCACAGCUUCCAGAAGCUGUCAGGAAGGAAAGGAUGAAGCAACCGGCUCAUGUGCAGGAAGUCCAGGAAGAGGAAGAAGCAAUAGCUGAGGGGGUUGAUGACGAGGAAGAACUAGAAGAGAUAAGGGCUCGACUUGCAAAAGUUAGAUCAUAAAUUUGAUAUUUCACAUAAAAAUGUCAAAAUGGUUGUAACUCGAUUUGAGCGUCAACAGUACUUGUUCUGGUAUCUAAUGAGAGAGAAAAUGAGCGACAUACCAAACUUUCUCUUGUUCAUGUUUGUUUGACCGAGAUUCUUAAACUGAGAGUAUAUUUGUCAAAUAGAUAGGGAGACGGAGAUGGAGUUGGAGACGGA